rnacentral:tRNA from 1 species
GCGGGCGUGGCGAAAUUGGUAUACGCAAGGGACUUAAAAUCCCUCGGCCGNNGCACCUGAUCGACGACCGUUUCGCGCGCC